CAGGGUUCUGAUUGGCAGCCUGGACGUGGGCUAUAAAUGCGGGCAGGGAGCCGAGCUCUCAUUCCACCGCCAGCACCGCUCCAGUAGCGAUGGCUCCCCUCGUGGCCUUGGUCCUGCUCGGGCUGCUCUCACUGUCUGGCCUGGAUGCGGUCGCGCGUCCCCCGAAGGUUCAGGUUUACUCACGCCACCCAGCGGAAAACGGAAAGCCAAAUUACCUGAACUGCUAUGUAUCUGGGUUCCAUCCGCCCCAGAUUGAAAUUGAUUUGCUGAAAAACGGGGAGAAGAUGAACGCGGAGCAGUCAGACCUGUCUUUCAGCAAGGACUGGUCUUUCUACCUUCUGGUCCACACUGAGUUCACUCCUAACGCUGUGGAUCAGUAUAGCUGCCGCGUGAAGCACGUGACUCUCGAUAAGCCCAAGAUAGUUAAGUGGGAUCGAGACCACUAACCGGCAUCACAGAGGGAACCUUGGCACUGAAAACCUGUUCAGAUUUCCUGUUACAUCCUGGGCCUGGCCGAUCAAUGUGAGGAACAUCAGAGAGUUUGGGUGCCCUUCCCAGAGAGACACAGUUUCUAAAUGAUUAUGAAGAUGCUGCAUCUGGGUUGGAUGAAUCCAAAUUCUGAUUUGUUGCUUUUUAAUACUGAUAAGCUUUUAUACUUUAUGCACAUAAAUCAGAAAUCGUAUUGAUGUUACCACAAAUGUUGUCUUCUUUGUAAUUCUACCUUGGGUGUAGUCUCCAUGUUUAAACUGUCUGAGCAGGUAGAUGUAGAGGGGGUGCCGGUAGCCUAGAGAUGUGGAGGAAAGAAUUUCAGGGUUAACAUCAAACAUCUUGGUCAUGUAUAAAGUCUUCAGUUUCAAAUGCACAUAAAACUAGAUAAUAAAACAGCAAUCUAACUUUAGAGUAAACCUCCAGUUCGUCAUUUUUCUCAGAAUUUUGGGAAAUUUUUCAAAAGAUAAUGUCAGAAUUAUUGGAAAUAUGUUAUAGAGUUGACAUUUUGUCAUGUAAAAUCAUAUUUACUUCUUACAUCUUUUGAUUGAGACAUAGUUGUGCUUGUUUUUAUUUUGUUUGUCCAACUAAACUGAUGGUAAAACUUGAUUUUUAGUAC